ensembl:lincRNA Gm12111 predicted gene 12111
AAGAGCUUGCGGUGGCUGGGGCUGCGCUGGGGGUGCCGAAAGGUGGCCGUGUGGUGGCUGUGGAAGAAAAAAAGGCAGAAGCCACAGCUGGCCCCUGGGAACCGAAGAUGGUAGAAUGCCAGGCAUGCAUCAGAGGACCAGCUGAGACCUUUGCAAUCCUGAAAGACUUAAGUGAAGAUGACUACUUGGUUCACAUUGGCUAAAAGAGCCCUUUAAGUCUUCUGUCUUCAGGUCUAGCUUUUGCCUGCUUCGAGGACUCUUCCUGUUCUGCUACUGGCAGGUUGGACCAGAGGCUCAGCAGCUCUCUGAAGCUCCAGUAACAGGCGCCACCUCCAGCAGCUGAGAAAGC